rnacentral:lncRNA from 1 species
CCUGAAGACAUGCAAGUGCUGUUAAAAAGGUUUUUUUGUGAAUUUUUUCAAGAAUUAAUAUUCAUGUUGACAGAUUGACCGCGCUCCUCGCAUGCGUGAAAAGACUGGAACUGGACUUCAAGUUUGGCUUCAAAUUUUCGUUGGAGGUAGCGUUCCAGUUAUAUUCAAUUCACUGGAAUUAUAGCAUAUAGCCUGCAGGACACCCGCAAGGUAGCAAUGGACUGAAAAACAGGCUACUCGCGAGGUGACUGAAGGCGAAGGCAUGCACGCAAACCUGGACACUCCACUUAAUUUAUUUGUGAUCCAGGUCAUUUUCCAAGAUGAAGAACUUACAAAAACCAGUGAGCUCCAUAUAUGUAUAUAUUUAUAUAUCUGGAGUGAGAUCUCGAGUCCAAAAAGUGAAGGCAAGAUGGAGCUAUUGAACGUCAGUUCCAGUCCCCCUUCUAUUGUUUUUGUCUGCGCGGUUAACACGAAGUUGAACUGGUAACUUGAUUAGCGAUAUGGUCCGUUACAAGAAGAAAAACUGUAAUUUAUAGUUAGGAAAAAUGGUACUAUGAAAACUGGAUUUGUAACACUAAAGGGUAUUUGUAUGAUGUAUCUGAAUACACAGAAGUGUUUUAUACACACACAAGGUUAUCUGUAAACGCAAAAGGGUCUUCAUAUCAUAAUAUACAUAAGUCGUAAGGCGAGAUGUCAUCAAAAUUGCGCAUUUUGACGACCGGGAUUUGAAACACAAUGCGGCAUUGUUACAAAUGUACCUUUACCACACGAGGUUUCAUGUCACUUUAAGACAGAUUGAUAUGUAGGAACCUUGGAUUUGAUGAUCGCCAAACACGCCUGUAAAAACAAAAAUAAUACAUUCAAACCUUAGUUUCUCCAGACUGGUUCAGACAGGAGUUUAGCCUGACACUUUGGAGCGACAUCGCGCAGUCAUCAGGUUUUCCUA